rnacentral:rRNA from 1 species
AAUAGAUACCCUGGUAGUCCACGCCGUAAACGAUGUCGACUUGGAGGUUGUGCCCUUGAGGCGUGGCUUCCGGAGCUAACGCGUUAAGUCGACCGCCUGGGGAGUACGGCCGCAAGGUUAAAACUCAAAUGAAUUGACGGGGGCCCGCACAAGCGGUGGAGCAUGUGGUUUAAUUCGAUGCAACGCGAAGAACCUUACCUGGUCUUGACAUCCACAGAACUUUCCAGAGAUGGAUUGGUGCCUUCGGGAACUGUGAGACAGGUGCUGCAUGGCUGUCGUCAGCUCGUGUUGUGAAAUGUUGGGUUAAGUCCCGCAACGAGCGCAACCCUUAUCCUUUGUUGCCAGCGGUCCGGCCGGGAACUCAAAGGAGACUGCCAGUGAUAAACUGGAGGAAGGUGGGGAUGACGUCAAGUCAUCAUGGCCCUUACGACCAGGGCUACACACGUGCUACAAUGGCGCAUACAAAGAGAAGCGAACUCGCGAGAGCAAGCGGACCUCAUAAAGUGCGUCGUAGUCCGGA